AGUUCAACUUAAAAACAUAAGGCUGCAGGUGUGGCUGCCGUGUAACAUGUCCGUCAGUAGCUGGCAGAGAGAAGAGAGACUAUGUGUGCGCUGUUCUGACACUGUGAACAUCUGAUUGAUUAGUACAGCCUUAAUGU